CGUAGGGUGCAAGCGUUAAUCGGAAUUACUGGGCGUAAAGGGUGCGCAGGCGGCUCCGCAUGUCAGGCGUGAAAUCCCCGGGCUUAACCUGGGAAUGGCGCUUGAAACUACGGGGCUCGAGUAUGGCAGAGGGAGGUGGAAUUCCACGUGUAGCGGUGAAAUGCGUAGAGAUGUGGAGGAACACCGAUGGCGAAGGCAGCCUCCUGGGCCAAUACUGACGCUCAUGCACGAAAGCGUGGGGAGCAAACAGGAUUAGAUACCCUGGUAGUCCACGCCCUAAACGAUGAUGACUAGUUGUUGGGGGAGUUAAAUCCUUUAGUAACGCAGCUAACGCGAGAAGUCAUCCGCCUGGGGAGUACGGUCGCAAGAUUA
rnacentral:rRNA from 1 species